rnacentral:rRNA from 1 species
UACGUAGGGUGCGAGCGUUGUCCGGAAUUAUUGGGCGUAAAGGGCUCGUAGGCGGUUUGUCGCGUCGGGAGUGAAAUCCACUGGCUUAACUGGUGGCUUGCUUUCGAUACGGGCAGACUGGAGGUAUGCAGGGGAGAACGGAAUUCCUGGUGUAGCGGUGAAAUGCGCAGAUAUCUGGAGGAACACCGGUGGCGAAGGCGGCAUCCUGGACCAAUUCUGACGCUGAGGAGCGAAAGCCAGGGGAGCAAACGGG